GGCAAGGUGGCCGAGCGGUCUAAGGCGCCGUCUUCAGGAAUUCUGAAUUGGCGGUCCGAAAGGGCAUGGGUUCGAAUCCCAUCCUUGUCA